CAUAGCUUAAUGUAGUAAAUAUUAAGUUAGUUCUGCUCAGUGAUUUAUUAAACAGCCGCAGUACACUGACUGUGCUAAGGUAGCAUAAUAAAUUGGCUUAUAAUUGAAGUCUAGUAUGAAUGGAAUUUAAUGGGUAAUAACUGUCUCUGGGGGUUUAAUUAGAAUUUACUUAGGGGGUGAAAAUACCCCCGCUUAUAAAAGAAAGACGAGAAGACCCUUAGAAUUUUUAUGAUGGGGCUAUUAAGGUUCUAAGUAUUUGUUGGGGCGACAAGUUAGCACUAUUAAACCUAACUAUACCUUUAAUUAACAAGAAAUAUUUAAUUAGUUUGAUUAAUUACCUAAGGGAUAACAGCAUAAUCUUUUUUUGGUUUGUGACCUCGAUGUUGGACUAGGGAUCUCUAAGGCUAGAAGCCCAUAGUUAGAGUU
rnacentral:rRNA from 1 species